GGCGGCGGCGACUCAAGAGGAGGAGGAGGCCCGAAGCUACUGCGCAUGCGGGAACUUGGCCCUUGCCGGGCGGGGCUUCAACUGAAAGCGGCGCCUGUGUUUGGGCUGCUCUCCUCCCGAAAUUCUGUAAUACAGGGUGCCGUUUUAUGUCAUCGUCAUGUUAUACUUCAGGCAAAGGCUGUAUGGAUAACUGAGGACAAGCAUUUCCUAACAAGAACAUACAUUUAGAGCAAAAAAUAUUUACAACUAGGAUUUCAUGUUCUUCUAAAAAUGUUUAAAUGGUAAGGUUUAAAAGGACAUUUAAAUAGAUUACAUUAGUUAGAAUACAGAGAAGCAAGAUGACAUGAGAUGUGAGUGAUAAAAUAAGGGGAAAGUACAUUGUUUCAGACUUGUCUUGACUACAGUUGGCUUUUAAUGGGAACCCUUUAUGGUAAAUGGAUCGAUAUUUUAUAGAUACUGAAACAGAUACUUUGAUGUAUUGUUUAAUUCAAAGUAAUAAUGCAUUAUAGCUAAGUUAGUUUAUUGCUUUCUGGUUUUUAUUUUUCAUCCAAAACAAUAAAGUUUACUUAGGAUACUUCACUUCUGUGAAUAGCAUUUCUUCUAACAGUAACCAAAUAAGACAGAGAAAACUGUAACUUUCCAUAGUCUUUCUAAAUGAAAAGCAUCCUGAAUAGCUGACUUAACACUGUGUUUUAUUUCCAUAAUAAUGUGUAAAAGACUAAAGAAAAUAUUUGCUGUUGCAGGAUAUGCACCUGGAUUAUUAUCGUCUUGUUAUAUUAAACAUUAGCUUUAUUGAGUUUUGUAUAAUAAUGAUAGGUGAAGGUUUGCUGUAACUGCAAGAAUUUCAGCAAAUGAGGCAGAGUUGUUUAGCAAAAAAGAUGAAUUUGCAGUUCACCUUUAAAAUAGGUUGCAAGGCCCCACUGCAAUCGUCAACAUACAAAGUACCCUUUCUUCAAAACCACUUUCUGCCCCAUCAAGUUUUGUUUUUCUGUUUUCAAAGAAAUGCAGCUGUCAGGUCCCAGAGGAGAGGAAAAAAUUAAAAUAGCUCCUGGACCUGCUGAAGUUUCUGAUGCCCUCAUACAUAUAUAGUUUGUAAUCAACUUAUUGUUAUUGUUUAAAGUUCGCAGUGGAAGAACAUUACAAAUCUACCAUAUAUAGAAACGGAAAGUGUGCAUCAUGUAGGUCUUGUAUAUAGCAGCAACUGGCAGUUGUUUUUUCCAGGGACUGUACCAUAUUUAUGCCCAUAGACUACAACUGUUUCUUUCUUUUCUGAAAACUCACUAGGGACUGUCAGCCAAUGGCUUGGGAACUGGCACAUGUGCAGAUGCACACCGCCAUUUUAUUCUACCAAGACUGAGACUACGGACUCCAAGUCCAUGAAAAGGGAGGGACCUUUUUAUUACAAUAAUAAUUCUAAACAGAUUUCUCUCCACAAAGUUCAGUUUUUUUCCCUCUGGGCUUUUGGCAGAAUCUUUAAGCAGCUUCCAGGAACGGCACAGAAUUAUGGAACUGCAUCUUUUGAUGAGGUUAUGUACUUUGUUUCAAUAUGUUUAAUUAAGGAGUAAUGCUUCAGUUCUAAACAAAUUACUGUACAGCAGUACUGCAAGGCUGUACAUGUUCAGUGAUGAAUGCACUCAAAAUGGAUAUUAAUAAAAAGCAUCUUUAUUUCAGCUCACAAGUUUGUAGACACACAAUAGUUUUAAAUUACUAUUGGUUUAUUUUCAUAUAACACUAGCAAACUGUUACUGGUAAUCCUCAAAAUAUCCAAGGGCAGUGUUAUUGAUACACCAUAUAACAGAAAAUUGGUUAGGGCUGUGAUAAUUCAAAGGCAUAACCAUAGCCUGAAACGCAUGGGCCAAAAAAAGCAGCUUCUGGCCACUUUGUGGGCAUGGCACUUACAUGACGCAUGCCCCCAAAGUGGCCAGAAGCUGCCACAAAAAGGGGCCAGUUAAACCCAGCUCCUGGCAGGCUAUCUGCUUUGUCCCUGUAUUAGUCUGGAUCAGUAUGCAAGAGGAUCUUGUAGCAGUCAGUAGCUGGAAGAAAGAAGUUGGUCACAUAAGCUUUCAUAGACUUAAGUCUACUUCCUCAGAUGCGAGGAAUUAGACAUCUGAGGAAGUCUAUGAAAUUUUAUGCUACCAGCUUCUCCCAGUUAGUUGCAAAAUGCUAUAGGAUCCCUUUGCUUAGGCCAAGAAUAGCCCCACCUACCUACCUUAAGGAAGAUUUCUGAAAUUCAGUAGCAAAUAGGGUCACUUUAUAAAGUGCAGGAUGGAGUUAGAGCAUCCUCCCACAGUACACAGCCCUGGGAAACUGCAGCUCAUGGUGUCGUUUUCCUUUCUAAAGUGAAAGGAUAGGAAGGAAUUGCCAUUUCAGAGGUGGAUAGUGCUGUUCACCACUACUGAUUCUGCAGUGGCAUAGGUGCUAAGAGGGAGGUAAAAAGACAUUUGGGACCUAUAUGCAACCCGUGUGUUGCCCACUCCUACUCUGGUGCAGUACUAGUGACAUUCUUGGAAAUUGUUACUUUCUAAUUCUCAGCACCUGUUUUGUCAAGAUGGCAAUAUUUAUUAGAUUCCUGUUUCAUAAAAUUACAGAACAUUGUUUCAGUUUAAGCAUAUGAGGUUCCAUCUGUAACUUUCAGAUGCAGACAUUCCCAAUGCUUAUGUUACCAAAGCAUUUGUUGAAAUCAAAGGUGCCUUACAAUUUAGCGUGCCAUGUCAGUCUGCUAGAUACAGUUAUACCCCUAAAUAUCUCCACAUCAACUCCAGAUCAACUUUUUCCCUUUGAACCACUGGGGGGGCAGGCUGGAACUCUGGUUGCAUUUCAAGAGUCCCACAAGUUUCCUAAAUGAUAAAGUCAAAAUAAUUUUAUUAAUUCAUUCAAAGUAUGCCCACUUUAUCCUCCCUUUCAAAGUAUUUCCAGAGUGGUGGUUCAAAUGAUAAAUGAAAAAGUAGCAGUAAAAUCAUAGUAUUACCAAAAUGGAGCAAAGAAGUGAUUUAAUUUAGGGGGGUUUAUAUUAAUCUGGAAUGGGCUUCUUGGAAUUGAUUUUUUCAACAAUAUAAACUGUUGACAUUUACAUUUCUGAAAUAAUAGUAACAAAGUGAAUGGAAUAUUUAAUUUUCAUUGUUUGCUUUUCUUUUUCUUUGUAAUAAAAAUACCUCCAACAAACCUG